rnacentral:rRNA from 1 species
GUGGGGAAUUUUGGACAAUGGGCGAAAGCCUGAUCCAGCCAUGCCGCGUGCAGGAUGAAGGCCUUCGGGUUGUAAACUGCUUUUGUACGGAACGAAAAGACUCCUUCUAAUAAAGGGGGUCCAUGACGGUACCGUAAGAAUAAGCACCGGCUAACUACGUGCCAGCAGCCGCGGUAAUACGUAGGGUGCAAGCGUUAAUCGGAAUUACUGGGCGUAAAGCGUGCGCAGGCGGUUAUAUAAGACAGAUGUGAAAUCCCCGGGCUCAACCUGGGAACUGCAUUUGUGACUGUAUAGCUAGAGUACGGUAGAGGGGGAUGGAAUUCCGCGUGUAGCAGUGAAAUGCGUAGAUAUGCGGAGGAACACCGAUGGCGAAGGCAAUCCCCUGGACCUGUACUGACGCUCAUGCACGAAAGCGUGGGGAGCAAACAGGAUUAGAAACCUCGGUAGUCC